rnacentral:rRNA from 1 species
AUUGAACGCUGGCGGCAUGCUUUACACAUGCAAGUCGAACGGCAGCGCGGACUUCGGUCUGGCGGCGAGUGGCGAACGGGUGAGUAAUAUAUCGGAACGUACCCAAGAGUGGGGAUAACGUAGCGAAAGUUACGCUAAUACCGCAUACGAUCUAAGGAUGAAAGCAGGGGAUCGCAAGACCUUGUGCUCCUGGAGCGGCCGAUAUCUGAUUAGCUAGUUGGUGAGGUAAAGGCUCACCAAGGCAACGAUCAGUAGCUGGUCUGAGAGGACGACCAGCCACACUGGAACUGAGACACGGUCCAGACUCCUACGGAGGCAGCAGUGGGGAAUAUUGGACAAUGGGCGCAAGCCUGAUCCAGCCAUGCCGCGUGUGUGAAGAAGGCCUUC